rnacentral:rRNA from 1 species
AACGAACGCUGGCGGCAUGCCUAACACAUGCAAGUCGAACGCGUGUAGCAAUACACGAGUGGCGGACGGGUGAGUAACACGUGGGUGACCUGCCCUCAGCUCUGGGAUAAGCCUGGGAAACCGGGUCUAAUACUGGAUAUGACUCCAUGACGCAUGUUGUGGGGUGGAAAGCCUUGUGCGGCUGAGGAUGGGCCCGCGGCCUAUCAGCUUGUUGGNGGGGUGAUGGCCUACCAAGGCGAUGACGGGUAGCUGGUCUGAGAGGAUGAUCAGCCACACUGGAACUGAGACACGGUCCAGACUCCUACGGGAGGCAGCAGUGGGGAA